rnacentral:rRNA from 1 species
CAUUUGACGUUAGCUGCAGAAGAAGCACCGGCUAACUCCGUGCCAGCAGCCGCGGUAAUACGGAGGGUGCGAGCGUUAAUCGGAAUUACUGGGCGUAAAGCGCAUGCAGGUGGUUUGUUAAGUCAGAUGUGAAAGCCCGGGGCUCAACCUCGGAAUUGCAUUUGAAACUGGCAAACUAGAGUACUGUAGAGGGGGUAGAAUUUCAGGUGUAGCGGUGAAAUGCGUAGAGAUCUGAAGGAAUACCGGUGGCGAAGGCGGCCCCCUGGACAGAUACUGACACUCAGAUGCGAAAGCGUGGGGAGCAAACAGGAUUAGAUACCCUCGGUAG